UACGUAGGGUGCGAGCGUUGUCCGGAAUUAUUGGGCGUAAAAGGGCUCGUAGGCGGUCUGUUGCGUCAGGAGUGAAAACUCGGGGCUUAACCCCGAGCCUGCUUCUGAUACGGGCAGACUAGAGGUAUGCAGGGGAGAACGGAAUUCCUGGUGUAGCGGUGAAAUGCGCAGAUAUCAGGAGGAACACCGGUGGCGAAGGCGGCUCUCUGGGACGGUACUGACGCUGAGACGCGAAAGCGUGGGGAGCGAACAGG
rnacentral:rRNA from 1 species